AAGAAGAUACACUAUACUGAAUCAGUUUAUAGUUAUAGUUCCAUCAUUGGCAAUUAACUCCAUCAAAUAUACAGAUCACAGAAAGAAAACUUCAGAAUCAAAAACUAUAUAUCCUAUAUUUAGUCGGUCUCAAAAUCAAAAGCUCAAUUCAUGUCCGAGUAUUGGUGAAUAUGCAAAAGAAAACUAUGAAACUCAAGGGACGAUGAUUCAGUUAUUUCAAAAUCCAAACGCAAGAAUGUUAUUCAAAUGAAAAAAGAAAAAGGAAAAUGGAUGCAAGUUCUGUACAUACAUAUUUCGCAUGACAACUUAAUCUCUGUUUUGAACCCAAAAUCUAAGGAGCAGGAUUAUCACCAUCACAACUGCCAAAUGCAAAUACUCUAACAGAAACUAGCGCUUCAAAUAACCUGACACAACUGACUCAUGUUUGAAAGAAGCAGGAAAGGGAACAAAUAGUCUAUAAAUUUUUUGCAAUAAGGCAUGAACAAAACUAGCAAACUGACUUCAGUAAACAACACGACAUGCAUCUUUAAUCCCAAUUCCAGUAGAGUAACAGCUGCAAUGGUGCCAAUCCUAGCCGAAAGUGAGGCAGAUCACUAGAACUGUGGGCACGUAGAUAGCUAAUUCAACUGAUUGGAAUUCAAGGGUCCAGAUAGUGAAUAAAAACUACGCGCAACUCGACUGAUUUGCGACUAGUACACGAGCAAGCAUGAAAUUUCAAAUCAAUACAUGAUUCAUUCAAUUGAUUCAACUAGCAAGAACACACCAACUUUGACAACUCAUGCUACAAUAAAGCCGAACAAGUUAAACUUCGACUAAUUAGAAACCAGAUUUCAAACAUUUUCCCCAAAACAAAUCAUGGUCGAAUAGUGAUACAAGGGCAGAUGAGCACACACAGCUACGUGUUUAAAUGAAUUCUAAGACCAGAGGAUUAUAUGGACAUUCAUUAGCACACAUGUGAAAUCAUGGAAAAAGCUGAAAAAAACAAGAAGAAACAGAGCAGCAAAAUGACAAAUCUCAGGUAUUACUUUAAACUUCGGCCCAUUUUUAUAGUUCAUACAGAGAUCGAUUCACAACAGGAACUAAAGAGAGGAAAAGAAAUGAACCUGGAAUUAAUAAACUGAAUUAGUACAACACUGAAAUCAACCAAAAGAAGCAAAUAGCCGCUGAAAAUCAACCCUCGAGCAGCGACAAAUUCGAACUUCUCAAAUGACUUCCAUUUUUAACCCAAAAUCCAGAACCGAAAUGAAGAAGAUGGACUCUAGAGAUUUCGAAAACUUUAAACAAUAAUCGACAUAGAAAUGAAUCAGCAGAACACUCAGUGAUUUUUUUUUCUCUAGUACCAGAAAUAAAGAAGCAAUAGAAAAUGAAGGAGAAAAAUCUUGAACCCUAAUUUUUAACUUUCUUCCGAAAUCUCUUCCAAACCCUUUCCAAAAUAUUCUCCAAAAAAAUCCCCCUACACAAAAAAAAGGGUCUCACCUUAUAUAAACCUCCAAAAGAUCUCGAACCUUCUUCCUUUCUCUCCAAGAAAAUUCCCAAAACGAGAAAUGCUCUCCCCCAAACAAAUUUCCCACCCCGUUUCCGAUGAAAGAGGGACAAAUGGAGGGAGUAGAUUAGCUCAAAUCCAAUCUAACGCUCUCCAUUUUUCCUUAUUUUCAUCUGAAGGGUGAAAAUAUUCGAGAUAAAUCAAAGAAGCAUGUGAGGGGAAAGGGAAUCUGUCAGAAACGGUUGUAAUAUGGUAGGAGGAGAGAGGGAAAACGCGAGGUAUGAGAUUGGUGUUCACUCGCCCUGGAUUUUGAGCGAUUUGGGAUCUGGUUUGGGUAAGGAAGGCGAGUGAACAAUAGCUGCGCCGAUU
rnacentral:lncRNA from 1 species